rnacentral:rRNA from 1 species
AGUGAACGCUGGCGGUAGGCCUAACACAUGCAAGUCGAACGGCAGCACAGUAAGAGCUUGCUCUUACGGGUGGCGAGUGGCGGACGGGUGAGGAAUACAUCGGAAUCUACUUUUUCGUGGGUGAUAACGUAGGGAAACUUACGCUAAUACCGCAUACGACCUACGGGUGAAAGCAGUGGAUCUUCGGACCUUGCGCGUUUGAAUGAGCCGAUGUCGGAGUAGCUAGUUGGCGGGGUAAAGGCCCACCAAGGCGACGAUCCGUAGCUGGUCUGAGAGGAUGAUCAGCCACACUGGAACUGAGACACGGUCCAGACUCCUACGGGAGGCAGCAGUGGGGAAUAUUGGACAAUGGGCGCAAGCCUGAUCCAGCCAUACCGCGUGGGUGAAGAAGGCCUUCGGGUUGUAAAGCCCUUUUGGUGGGAAAGAAAAGAAGCAGGUUAAUACCCCGCUGUUCUGACGGUACCCAAAGAAUAAGCACCGGCUAACUUCGUG